CGGGGGAAAAAUUUAUUGCUAUUAGAUGAGCCUAUAUUAGAUUAGCUAGUUGGUGGAGUAAUAGCCUACCAAGGCAAUGAUCUAUAGCUGAUCUGAGAGGAUGAUCAGCCACACUGGAACUGAGAUACGGUCCAGACUCCUACGGGAGGCAGCAGUGGGGAAUAUUGGACAAUGGGUGAAAGCCUGAUCCAGCUAUGCCGCAUGAGUGAAGAAGGCCUUUGGGUUGUAAAGCUCUUUUAGUGAAGAAGAUAAUGACGGUACUCACAGAAGAAGUCCUGGCUAACUCCGUGCCAGCAGCCGCGGUAAUACGGAGAGGGCUAGCGUUAUUCGGAAUUAUUGGGCGUAAAGGGCGCGUAGGCUGAUUAAUAAGUUAAAAGUGAAAUCCCGAGGCUUAACCUUGGAAUUGCUUUUAAAACUAUUAACCUAGAGAUUGAAAGAGGAUAGAGGAAUUCCUGAUGUAGAGGUAAAAUUCGUAAAUAUUAGGAGGAACACCAGUGGCGAGGGCGUCUAUCUGGUUCAAAUCUGACGCUGAGGCGCGAAGGCGUGGGGAGCAAACAGGAUUAGAUACCCUGGUAGUCCACGCUAUAAACGAUGAAUGUUAAAUAUGGGAAGUUUACUUUCUGUAUUACGGCU
rnacentral:rRNA from 1 species